UAUCGAUAAUAAGUUCAGAAUGGAUAAGAAUCAUAAUACACGACGAUCGAUUCUGUUAAACAUUUGAUUUUAACUAAUGAUUACAGCUUCACUUUGAAAUAAAGUUCGAUUUCAUACAUCUAAAUAGAAAUGAAAAUAUAAUAUUUUCUGAUCAAUCGGCACGAUAAAUUAUUAUUCUGAUUUUCAUUCCAAUCAUUUUUUUUCUUCCCCCCUAAUAAUGCGUUUAUUGUCUUUAUUCAA
rnacentral:lncRNA from 1 species